rnacentral:rRNA from 1 species
AGGGAUCAUUACUGAGUUACCGCUCAUCAACCCUUUGUGAACAUACCUUAACUGUUGCUUCGGCGGGUAGGCGUCCCCUAAAAAGGACGUCUCCCGGCCCUCUCCCGUCCGCGGGUGGGGCGCCCGCCGGAGGAUAACCAAACUCUGAUUUAACGACGUUUCUUCUGAGUGACACAAGCAAAUAAUCAAAACUUUUAACAACGGAUCUCUUGGUUCUGGCAUCGAUGAAGAACGCAGCGAAAUGCGAUAAGUAAUGUGAAUUGCAGAAUUCAGUGAAUCAUCGAAUCUUUGAACGCACAUUGCGCCCGCCAGCAUUCUGGCGGGCAUGCCUGUUCGAGCGUCAUUUCAACCCUCAAGCUCUGCUUGGUGUUGGGGCUCUACGGUUGACGUAGGCCCUUAAAGGUAGUGGCGGACCCUCUCGGAGCCUCCUUUGCGUAGUAACAUUUCGUCUCGCAUUGGGAUUCGGAGGGACUCUAGCCGUAAAACCCCCAAUUUUACUAAGGUGGACCUCGGAUCAGGUAGGAAUACCCGCUGAACUUA